CUGAUCUUGUAAAUGCUAAGCACUUACAACUGUUUGCAGAGGAAACUGAGACUUUGCAACUAUGUCUCAGUCUCAUCUGCAAAGAAGUAAGUGCUUUGCCAAGCCCCUUGAGAGGAU
rnacentral:pre_miRNA from 13 species